rnacentral:rRNA from 1 species
GAUGAACGCUGGCGGCGUGCUUAACACAUGCAAGUCGAACGAUGAAAGCGGGAGCUUGCUCCUGCUGGAUUAGUGGCGAACGGGUGAGUAACACGUGAGCAAUCUGCCCCGAACUCUGGGAUAAGCGUUGGAAACGACGUCUAAUACCGGAUACGACGCGCGAAGGCAUCUUCUGCGCGUGGAAAGAACUUCGGUUCGGGAUGAGCUCGCGGCCUAUCAGCGAGGUGGUGAGGUAACGGCCCACCAAGGCGACGACGGGUAGCCGGCCUGAGAGGGUGACGGGCCACGCUGGGACUGGGACACGGCACAGACUCCUACGGGAGGCAGCAGUGGGGAAUAUUGCACAAUGGGCGCAAGCCUGAUGCGGCAACGCCGCGUGAGGGACGACGGCCUUCGGGUUGUAAACCUCUUUUAGUAGGGAAGAAGCGAAAGUGACGGUACCUGCAGAAAAAGCACCGGCUAACUACGUGCCAGCAGCCGCAGUAAAAC